GGGGCACCUGGGCACACCUGGGUACACCUGAGGGCACCUGGGGGGAGAAAAAUGGGCAAAAACGGCGAAAAUUGGGUGAAAAUCGGUGAAAAAAUGGGGAUUUUAGGGGGGAAAUUGGGGUUUGGGGCACACCUGGGCACACCUGAGGGGCACCUGAGGGCACCUGGGUACACCUGGGGGGAGAAAAAUGGGUGAAAAUUGGGUGAAAAUUGGGGUUUUAGUGGGAAAAUUGGGGUUUUGGGCACACCUGGGGGCACCUGGGCACACCUGGGGGGAGAAAAAUGGGCAAAAAUGGCGAAAAUUGGGUGAAAAUCGGUGAAAAAAUGGGGAUUUUGGGGGGAAAUUUGGGGUUUUGGGCAUUUUAACCCCUUCCCUCCCGCAGGAGACCCCUCCGAACCGCCCUGGCCGGGGCUGAUUUUGGGUUGUUUUGGGCUAUUUUUGGUCUAUUUUUGAGUGGAUUUUUUGGGCAAUUUUGGGGCUAUUUUUGGGUCGAUUUUGGGGUAUUUCAGGACAUUUUAACCCCUUCCCUCCCGCAGGAGACCCUGCGCACGUCCCUGACUGGGGCUGAUUUUGGGUUCAUUUUGGGUUAUUUUGGGCUACUUUUGGGCUAUUUUUGCAGGGAUUUUUUGGGCAAUUUUGGGGCUAUUUUUGGGUCGAUUUUGGGGUAUUUCAGGACAUUUUAACCCCUUCCCUCCCGCAGGAGACCCUGCGCACGGCCCUGGCCAUGGGUGCUGACCGGGCGGUGCUGGCCGAGCUGGGGGAGGGGGCGGCCGCGGGGCCCCGCGAGGUGGCCACGGCCCUGGCAGGGCUGGUGAAGCGGCUGCAGCCGCAGCUGGUGCUGCUGGGCAAGCAGGCCAUCGAUGACGAUUGCAACCAGACCGGGCAGCUCCUGGCCGCCAUCUUGGACUGGCCGCAGGUAGGCCGCGCGCGGGGCACCACGGGAUACAUCCCCCUACGGCGGGGGAUAAAUCCCACAAUCCACCGCGGAGUAGGGGGGAUAAAUCCCGGCAUCCUUUGCGGUAGAUGGGGGGAUAAAUCCCGUCGUGCAUCGCGGUGGCGGAGGAUGAUGGGAUAUAUUCACCCCUAAAUCGCUGAGGAUUGUGGGAUAUAUUCACCCCUUCAACGGCUGAGGAUUGUGGAAUAUAUUCACCCUUAAAUCGCGGGGGUUUGUGGGAUAUAUCCACCCCUAAAUCGCUGGGGAUUGUGGGAUAUAUUCACCCUUAAAUCGCGGGGGAUUGUGGGAUACAUUCACCCCUUUAACGGCUGAGGAUUGUGGGAUAUAUUCACCCUUAAACCGCUGGGAAUUGUGGGAUAUAUCCACCCGUUAAAUCGCGGGGGAUUGUGGGAUAUAUUCACCCCUUUAAUGGCUGAGGAUUGUGGGAUAUAUUCACCGUUAAAUCGCGGGGGAUUGUGGGAUAUAUUCACCCCUUUAACCUACUGGGAAUUGUGGGAUAUAUUCACCCCUUAAUUGCUGAGGAUGAUGGGAUAUAUUCACCCCAAAAAAACCGCUGAGAAUUGUGGGAUAUAUUCACCCCUAAACCGCGGGGGAUUGUGGGAUAUAGUCACCCAUUAAAUCGCGGGGGAUUGUGGGAUAUAUUCCCCCAAGGGCUGUGAAAAUGGGGCCGGGCCCAGUCCAUACUGGGAGGGUCUAACUCAUAUUGGGAGGCUCUGAGCUCAUACUGGGAAGGUUUAAUUCAUACUGGGAGGGUCUAACUCAUACUGGAAGGGUCCCAGUCCAUACUGGGAGGGUUUAACUCAUACUGGGAGGGUCCCAGUCCAUACUGGGAGGGUCUAACUCAUACUGGGAGUGUCCCAGUCCACACUGGGAGGCUGCCCAGCCCAAACUGGUUUCCCCAGGGCACGUUUGCCUCGCGGGUGCNNNNNNNNNNNNNNNNNNNNCGGGGGGUCCCCAAAAAACCCCGGGAUUCCCGCGAAAUUCCCCAAAAUCCCCGCGGUUCCCAUAGCGGCCAAUGGGGGUAGACCUGGUGUCCGGGAUGUCUGGGGUCAGUGAGAAUCAAAUCCCCCAAAAUUCUGGAUAUUCCCAAAAUUCCUGGGUGUGCCCCAAAUCCCUGGGUGUUCCCUAAAUCCCUGGGAUCCCCAAAUUCCUGAGAAAUUCCCCAAAAUUCCCAAAAUUCCCCAAAAUUCCCACAGUUCCCAUAGCAGCCAAUGGGGGUAGACCUGGUGUCCGGGAUGUCUGGGGUCCUUUUUGGGGGAAUUUUCCCCAAAAUUCUGGGUAUUCCCAAAAAUCCUGGGACUACCCCAAAUCCCUGGGUGUUCCUCAAAUCCCCAAAAUCCCCAAAUUCCCAAGAAAUUCCCCAAAAUUCCCGCGGUUCCCAUAGGGUUCAAUGGGGGUAGACCUGUUGUCCGGGAUGCUCAGGGCUCUUUUUGGGAGGAUUUUUCCCCAAAAUUUCAGGGGUUCUCCAAAUCCCCGGGUGUUCCCCAAAUCCCUGGGUGUUCCCUAAAUCUCCGGGAUCCCCACAAUUCCCGGGGGGUCCCCAAAAAACCCCGGGAUUCCCGGGAAAUUCCCGCGGUUCCCAUAGCGGCCAAUGGGGGUAGACCUGGUGUCCGGGAUGUCUGGGGUCAGUGGGAAUGGGAUUUUCCCCAAAAUUCUGGGUAUUCCCAAAAUUCCUGGGUAUUCCCCAAAUUUCCAGGAUCCCCCAAAUCCCUGGGUGUUCCUCAAAUCCCCAGGAUCCCCAAAUUCCCAAGAAAUUCCCCAAAAUCCCUAAAAAUUCCAGUGGUUCCCAUAGCAACCAAUGGGGGUAGACCUGUUGUCCGGGAUGUCUGGGGCUCUUUUUGGAGGGAUUUUCCCCAAAAUUCUGGAUAUUCCCGAAAUUCCUGGGUGUUCCCCAAAUCCCUGGGAUCCCCUCAGUCCCUGGGAUCCCCAAAUUCCUGAGAAAUUUCCAAAAAUUCCCAAAAUUCUCCAAAAAUCCCCGCGGUUCCCAUAGCGGCCAAUGGGGGUAGACCUGGUGUCUAAAAAAAAUCCUAAAAAAAAAUCUGAAAAAAAAUCCCCAAAAAUCCCUAAAAAAUAAAAAAAAAAAAAUCCCCA
rnacentral:lncRNA from 1 species